rnacentral:lncRNA from 10 species
CACCACCUCAGCUGCUAUAUCAUGGUGUCCUUUUUCAUUCUGUGACAGAGAGUGAAAAAAGAUGAGUCUAUAUUCCAUACAGCUGUACCCCCCUCAAUCUUAAAAUAAGUUCAAUUUAUUCCUACGAAACGAAAGAAAGGAAGCUUAUGUAGACACAGAAAAGGCAGGGAGUACCUCAACUGAAAGACACAAAAGUGAAUUAGAAAAUUAGGUUAUACAGGAACUUUGAAAGAGUGAAUUAUUUUUCACAGUGGGUAAAUGCGGUAGUGUUCGUAAUUACUGAAGCCAGACACUAUUGAACCGGAAAUGAAUUAACCUAUGUGAAGCACCUGGAGUCGAAAAAUAUUUGCAAGAAUACUAAUGAAUAUCGAGGAAGCAUGGCGAAGUGGCUAGGAGUGCGACCUCUGGAGGCAGGUGCCAGGGAUUCAAGCCAGGGCACUUGCUGGCAGUGUGUAACUUUGGAUGACAAGGCUUUGGUAGUAAGUAAUUCUGCACUCAUAAAACAAGUCGAAAACUUCCCCUCCUCUGGUAUUAACAUGUAUUAAUUUGAGAAGAUACUCUACUUACAUAUAAGGUAAGUAUUGAUGGGGUUGGGUUUACGUCUACCAUUUUACUAUUUGUUUUAUAUCUUCCCAUCUGUUUUUUACUCAUUUGUUUCUUCUUCUUCUUCUUUUUUUUUUUUUUUUACCUUAUUUUGGCUUAAUUAGAAAAAAAGAGAUUUUGGAAUUCCAUUGUAAUUUGUAUGUUAUCAUUUUACCUAUAUUUCUUUCAACUAUUUUUAGUCAUUGCUUAGGAAUUACAAUACACACAUUCUUAAUUUUUUUUGUCCACUUAGCAUUAAUAUUGUAGCACUUCAUGGAAAAUGUAAGAACCUUGCAGACUGUUAGACUCAUACAGGUGGCCUUACCCAGCAGCCACCUCUUCUCUCUUCAUCCUUCAUUCUUUAGUUGUCAUACGCAUUAUAUCUAUGAAGACACAAAGUUCAUCAUGCAAUAUUAUAAUUUUUACUUUAGAUAGCUAUAUGUACUAUUUAAUCAAAAAGAAAAAUAGUCUGAAAUUUACCCACAUAUUUACCAUUUUCAGUGUUCUUCAUUCCUUCUAGAACAUCUAAAUUUUCCAUCUGAUAUCAUUUUUCUUCGACAUGAGUAACUUUCUGUAACAUUUCUUCAAGUAUGAGUCUUCUGGUGAUGAGUUCUGUUAGUUUUUGUUUAGCUCUGAAUGUCAUCAUUUUGUCUUCAUUCUGGAAGAGCCUUUCAUUGAAUAUAGAAAUAUGGGUAGCAAGUUGUCUUUCAGCCCUUUCAAGAU